CAGUCCAUGGGGCAGGAAGACCCCUUGGAGGAGGGCAUGGCAACCCACUCCAGGAUUUUUGCCUGGAGAAUCCCAGGGACAGAGGAGCCUGGUGGGCUACAGUGCAUAGGGCUGUACGGAGUGGAACACCACUGAAGCGCCUUAGC